rnacentral:tRNA from 1 species
GGCUCGUUGGUCUAGGGAUUUGAUUCUCGCUUUGGGUGCGAGAGGUCCCGGAUUCAAAUCCCGGAUGAGCCC